UGUACACACCGCCCGUCGCUACUACCGAUUGAAUGGCUCAGUGAGGCGUUCGGACUGGCCCAGGGAGGUCGGCAGCGACCACCCAGGGCCGGAAAGUUCGUCAAACUUGGUCAUUUAGAGGAAGUAAAAGUCGUAACAAGGUCUCCGUAGGUGAACCUGCGGAGGGAUCAUUA
rnacentral:rRNA from 1 species